GGUGUCACCGCCGACCCCGCCCGGCUCCGCCGCCAUGAUGCCGCGGUUUAGUCCCUCCGCCUCAGCCUCACCGCGGAUUCCAACCCCUGCCUCCUUCUGCCCGCCGAGCUCUCGGGCCGGCGGCGGGAGAGAGACGCCAGGGCGGCGGAGAGCUGCCCCUGCCCCGCCUGAGGCUGCCGUCCCCUCAGGGGCACCAUGGCGGAGCCCGCCUGAGGGAUCCGUCCCCUCAGGGGCGCGAAGGGCGGGAUGGCGGAGCCCGCCUGAGGGAUCCGUCGCCUGAGAGAGAGAUCCAUCCCCUCUGGGGCGCCGUGGCAGAGCCCCUCCAGCUGCGGUGUGAGGGAGCACCACACUCCUCGCUUCUGUUCUUCGUGGGCUUACAAGACUUGCAAACACAGGGCAAGAGCUCUGCUCGUACCUUAUAAUUUAAGAGUUCAUGUGCCGUUCUGCAGGGACUGCAGCCUGUCAGGGGAACCCGAAGUCCAUCCCUAAUUGUUCAGCUUCAGGGCCAUACACCCAGAAAAGACUAGAAUUAUUUUAAACGCUAUCCAUCACUGCUACUCUUUCGUAUAAAAUAAAGUGUUUUUUCGAGGGCCACGUCUGUUUUGAACAAGUAGGAAAACAAGGCCACGUGAAGCAAAGGUCUUUGCCCUAUGCUAGUGGUGGAAUUGGGGGCAAAAAGCACAAAAACUCGUUUCUGGCUCACUGGACCAGCCAAACAUCCUGAAAAUUGGCUGUAGAUGAGAUUUGGGGGGGGAUUUCUCUUACUUUCAUAAAUCACACGUACAGGUCACUCCUUGCACUCUGGUUUCUGUGUUCUGUGCUGGUGGUGGGAAGAUACAAGACCUGCAGGAGAUAAUGGGACAGACCAGCAGAGGACACUGGAAAAAAACCAAAAGAGCAGAAAAUCCCUCAAAACCAGAUUUUCAUCUUUUUGCAGAGUCCUCAGUUUCCAAUCCAGAGAUCUCUUCGGGCCCAGGUGUGCCCACAACGGGGUGGACUGGGGGGUGGUAACAUCCAAAACUGUCCUGGUUUCCUGGCUUUGUAUCCCCGAUCCUUUACCCUGCUCAGGUCAUUCUCAGCUGAUGGUUAGCAAACAGACUCCAGGUCCUUUUAUUGCAGCUGUGACUCACUGAAAACAAGGAUCAGACACACCUUUUCCAUGAAAACCCUGCUGAACUGACUGCCCGAGCGCUUCAGGACUUGGAUGAGGAUCGUGGGCUUAGUGACUGCAGCUUCCCAGGGCUGAGGUCACGCGUGAGGAGCGUUUUUGGGCAUGUGCUGGUGCCUCACGUCAUCCUGGCUGCCCCUGCCUCUCCAAGGAUGCCGGAUUUGAUGUGCAUCAGAGAUUCCACUGCGCUGGAGAAUUUCCAUGGACUUCAGCACAAGGACAGAAAAUCUCGGAGACAGAACAAGCAAAGGGGAAGAAAAAAACCACCAUUAUCAGCAGGAAAUUCAGGAGACAGUUUCAGUUCUCAGAGAGUAGCAAAGAGCUGCUGGAUAACAUCAGUUAAUGCUUUGAGGGCGACAUGCCAGGGAAAGCACCGAUCCCAGAAGGUAACUCCGACCUUAUGCAUGUGAUUAAUGUGUUUUAAUCUCCCCAAAGGCACAAUGGCAGGUGGAGAACUACACGAACCUAAUCAGAUAACAGAAUGGAGCCACCAAACAAUGGUGACACCGCCACGGUGAGCCACCAGAAAGGCUCUCUGGCUCAUACAGGCAAGUGCUGCACAGGUGACCCUUCCAGUUUUCAUCCUGAAGAGCCAGAAAAAGAUUAAACUGCAAAAUUAGCACUCUGAGGAAUGAGAGGCGAAGGAAAAGCUUGUCAAAUCACAGGGCGACAUGCUCUGAGGGAUAAGAGUCAAAGGAAAAGCUGCUGAAACCAGAGAAAAAUGGGAUUUAAAAAAAAAAAGAAAAGAAAGAUCUCAGGGUAAUAAUAAUUAAAAAAAAAAUCUAGAUGUGCUUUGUUAUGUAGCAGAAAGCUGACUUGACACAUCUCAACCCCAUGGGUAAUGGCAGCUUGGUUAUUCUGAGCCAUCUCCCAUCCUCCUCCUACAUGUUCAAAUAUUCCUGUCAGAACUGGUCAAAAUGUUUUAACUUGAUUUCUUUUUAUUUUGUUAUUUCUGAGCAGAAAUGUCUUUUCAUGCAAAACAAACAUUGUGACAGAAAGGGUAACUUUGGUCAGGAUGAUUUGCAAUGUAAACAAGGAGUCCAGUGAGAAAUAUCAUCAUGUUUGACAUCAGCUUUGUUAUGACAGAAAUCUGAAGUUUGUCUAACCUUAUUUUCUGCAGGAAAGGAGAUAGAGGGACAAAAAGAAAUCAAACUGCUUUUUUUUUAACUCCCCUCCCCCUGAGCCAACCCAAAAUUAUUUCUUCAAUUGCAGGUUUCUCAUCCAUCUCAGCCAUGCCAUAAUGUUUUUCUCCACACAGUUUUUUAGGGAACUGGAUCCAACAACUUAGUUUCCAGUUACAGACACACAAGAGCCAUUCCCUGACCUCAUUAUCCUGAGGAGAAGGAUAUUAUCCUGCUGCUUUUGUUGAGAGCAGCUCCAUCCAGCCACAGGCAGGAUGUGUGGGGACAGCUGUCCUGCGCUUCAGCUUGCUCUUGCAUGCUGUGAGUCCUGGCAGGGGGCUUCCUAGGAGGCCCAGGGGAAAACCUGAACAUGUGGAGCAAUUUUCGGGAUGCAGAGGUGAGGCUGUGGGUGAUCCGUCAGGACCAGACGGCAGGUGGCACCCAUGGAUUAGCACAGGGCUCGCUCCAGCCAGGCUGGGCAGUGCCUGCAGCUGGGCUUCGGCUUCACCCUCCAUGAGCCACAGCUGCAGGGAUUUGGGCUCUUUUGCUGCCAUGCAGGGACAUCCCUGUGUCCUGGGGCUACUCCCCACAGGCCAGACUAUUCCCAUCACAUUUUAUUCGCCUGGGCACUCAGCUUGGCUUUGGACAAGGGGUGCCCACGGCAAUCGGGGGUGUUGUGCCUCGGCACUGCUCCCAACGGGAUGGGGAAGUAAAGGGAACACCAUGGCUGGCAGGGAAGGACCAGUGCCAGGGUACCUGAGUAAGGAGAGCAGGAGGCAGCCGGGGUCAGCCAAGAGUCCCCGUCAUCCUGCGUGUUCACAGCAGUAGGGCAGGCUGGAGGAAUCAAUCCAUAGCUCAGGAUCAAUCCUGGUGCGGGCAGCCACAGCCAGGUGAUCCCUAGGCAGGUCCAAGGGGACAAAACAGAGCUGAGCUCAAGCUGGGAAAUCAGUCUAGAUCAGGAUUCACAUCAAUAGGGCCUAUAGCUGCAGGUAUAGCUGGGACUAAACUAGAGACCAGCACCCCAGAGACGCAACUCAAACUGGGACCUGCCCUGGGCUGAGCUUAAAUGGGCUCCCAAGCCCAUGGGCAAGUGUGGCUGGGAAUUCCAUCCCAGGUGGGGCUGCUCAGGGCUGUCAGUGCCCCCAGGACUCGUCCCCCAGCCUGCAGGCACUGGUUGCUUGAGAGGUAGAAGACCUUGUGCUGUCCUCAAAGUGCUGUUUUGUACAUCAAGGGACACCUCAGCCAGCCAUGUGGUCCCUCUUUUUUUCCCCAGGGAUAUAUUUGGCUGUGCCACCCUGGCCCUCUGCAGCAGAGGUCACUUGGUUUGUUCAGCCUGGAGGAGACUGAGGGGAGACCUCAGUGGGGCCUUCA